rnacentral:rRNA from 1 species
GGCGGAAGCCUNACUGGNNCAGUCGAACGGAGUACCUUCGGGUACUUUAGUGGCGAACGGGUGAGUAAUACAUAGGUAACCUACCCUUAAGACGAGGAUAGCCAUUGGAAACGAUGGAUAAAACUGGAUAGGAUAUAGAGGAAGAAUCUUUUAUAUUUAAAAGAGAGAUCUGCUUAAGGAGGGGCCUGUGGCGCAUUAGCUAGUUGGUGGGGUAAGGGCCUACCAAGGCGAUGAUGCGUAGCCGGACUGAGAGGUUGAACGGCCACAAUGGAACUGAGAACGGUCCAUACUCCUACGGGAGGCAGCAGUAGGGAAUUUUCGGCAAUGGGGGGAACCCUGACCGAGCAACGCCGCGUGGACGAAGAAGUUAUUCGUAAUGUAAAGUUCUUUUAUCAGGGAAGAAAGAGGAAUUUGACGGUACCUGAGGAAUAAGCUCCGGCUAACUACGUGCCAGCAGCCGCGGUAAUACGUAGGGAGCGAGCGUUAUCCGGAAUUAUUGGGCGUAAAGGGUGCGUAGAUGGCAUAGUAAGUCUUUUGUAAAAAUGCUGGGCUCAACCCAGUAGGGCAAAAGAUACUGCAAAGCUAGAGUAUGACAGAGGCAAGUGGAACUACAUGUGUAGCGGUAAAAUGCGUAAAUAUAUGUAAGAACACCAGUGGCGAAGGCGACUUGCUGGGUCGAUACUGACAUUGAGGCACGAAAGCGUGGGGAGCAAACAGGAUUANAUACCCUGGUAGUCCACGCCCUANACG